rnacentral:misc_RNA from 1 species
AUCCCGUCACCGCGCGCAAGCGCUGGAUCGCCGGUUCGCUCGAGCCGAAGGGAACGCUCACCAUCGACGCUGGGGCCGUCGCGGCACUCCGCGCCGGCAAGAGCCUGCUGCCGGCCGGCGUGAUCCGGGUCGAAGGGCAGUUCGCACGCGGCGACGCCGUGGUGGUGCGCGGCCCCGAUACCCAUGAGAUCGGCCGCGGCCUGAUCGCCUACGACGCUGAGGAUGCAGACAGGAUCAAGGGCCGCUCGUCCUCGGACGCAGCACAA